GAUGAACGCUGGCGGCGUGCCUAAUACAUGCAAGUCGAGCGAACAGACGAGGAGCUUGCUCCUCUGACGUUAGCGGCGGACGGGUGAGUAACACGUGGAUAACCUACCUAUAAGACUGGGAUAACUUCGGGAAACCGGAGCUAAUACCGGAUAAUAUAUUGAACCGCAUGGUUCAAUAGUGAAAGACGGCUUUGCUGUCACUUAUAGAUGGAUCCGCGCCGCAUUAGCUAGUUGGUAAGGUAACGGCUUACCAAGGCAACGAUGCGUAGCCGACCUGAGAGGAUGAUCGGCCACACUGGAACUGAGACACGGUCCAGACUCCUACGGGAGGCAGCAGUAGGGAAUCUUCCGCAAUGGGCGAAAGCCUGACGGAGCAACGCCGCGUGAGUGAUGAAGGUCUUCGGAUCGUAAAGCUCUGUUAUCAGGGAAGAACAAAUGUGUAAGUAACUAUGCACGUCUUGACGGUACCUAAUCAGAAAGCCACGGCUAACUACGUG
rnacentral:rRNA from 1 species